AACAUGACUCUCGGCAAUGGAUAUCUCGGCUCUCGCAUCGAUGAAGAGCGCAGCGAAAUGCGAUACAUGGUGCGAAUUGCAGAAUCCCGUGAACCAUCGAGUCU
rnacentral:rRNA from 43 species